UAACAUUCUUUGGUAUGAAUUUGAAUUGAACGAAUUCCUUUUUCCACGCAAAGAGGUUCAGAGGAUGAACGAACAAAAUCGCCUUCUCCUCUUCCUUUCUUUAUCUCUCUCGCUAGCCACCGUUUAUCUUCUGCAUCCAUUUCUUGCUUCGAUUUAAAUUCUUCACAUCCACAAAACCAAUAUAAGAAUCUCUCUUUCCCUUUCAAUUUUUUAAAUUCUUUCACCGAAACGAGAAAGCAAAUUGUCGCCGUCAUUUUUCUCUCAUGGUUUUAGAUCUAGUUCCCACAAGAAAAGCUUCCAGUUGAAUUGUCAGCUUUACAAGCUUCCGUGUUACUUUGCAUUGGUCUACAAAUGCAGAACAUUUCGCACCUUGAGGCCGUUUAAUUCAAAAGGGACAAAUGGAGUUGAAAAAAGGAACAAAUACUGCAACAAUUAAAAAAAAUUAUGAAGUUCUACAAAUAUCUGUAUAGUCUUGAAUCCAAGGAGAUUGAAUCAACACUCCCACGAUCAAAAGAUUGGUGGUUACAACAGUUACUGAAUUGGGCAAUGGAAAGCCAAAGUUCUAUUCAACCCCUGAUAUAAUCUCUUAUUGCAGAAAAUGGCUAUUACCAACAAAUCACAUGUGGUUGUUCUCAACAAGAAAAUCAGCCUCUUCCUUCUUUGCUGCCUAUGAUGCCUUAUGUGAGGAAGGUACUGCAACUUCUGUAUGCAGGGCUCUUGAUGAAAUUGCGGACGUAUCUUUACCAGCUUCAAAAGACCAUGUGAAAGCCCGAGGUGAAAUUUUAGAGGGUCUUAUGGCUCGUCUUGUGAGCCAUGAGAGUUCAAACCAUAUAGAGAAAAUUUUGAAGGAAUUUCCCCCUCCACCUGAUUCUCAAAAUAUUAUGUGCUAGGCUGCUAGCUACUCUGAUGGAGGUAUGCUUGUGGAUUCUCAAAAUAUUAUGUGCUAGGCUGCUAGCUACUCUGAUGGAGGUAUGCUUGUGGAUUCUCAAAAUAUUAUGUGCUAGGCUGCUAGCUACUCUGAUGGAGAUAUGAUGAAAAACAGGUACUGGGUAAACUAUAUUACCAUGAUUCAGAGUUGUGAUAUUGCAAUUCUUGAUGUGGAUAUGGACCCUCUCAUUCAAGCAAUGCUUCUUAACUGGACAUUCUAUAAAGAUGCAGUUCUUUCUCAAGAGAGAUGAAAAGCUGAAGGAAAUGUAAAGCUUCUCGAUCGGACAUUCUAUAAAGCUGCAGUUCUUUCUCAAGAAAAGAGAGAUGAAAAUUUGAAGUAAGGAAAUGUAAAGCUUCUUAAUCGGAAAUUAUAUAAAGCUGCAAUUGUUUCUCAAGGUAUGUUUCGGAACAAUUUUGAAUUUGAUUUCUUUAAUCAUUACUGCAUCUUUCAAUUUUUAUCAAUUUUAUCUGAUACUUGUCUGAAAUAUUGAUGACAUAUUUGAUAUUUGAGUUUAUGUGGUUUAAAUGAUAAAAAUUGAUACGAUGAUGUUCUGCAUCGAUGGCCUUGAAUGCAAAAUAAGGAAUAGGAUGAUUUGAUGCAAAAUAGUACGAUCUUGAAUGUUUGUCAUUUAUUGACAAAUAUUUGUUGUCUUGAAUCAAUGUUAAUCUACAGUCCUCUCAAACAUAUUUAUAACGUGAAAUUUAUGUUAUAUUGUCCCUUAAUGAAGUUACCAUAGAAACACGAUAAGUUGAGAAGAUGAUGGUUCUUUCAAACAUAUUCAUAACGCGUAUUCAUGUCUCACUGAACCUUAAUAGAAUGACACUAGAAACAUGAAAAUUGGAGAUGAUGCUUAUGGAUGCAUAAUUUGAUAUGUCUUUACAUAGUUGGAUAAUAUUGUACUUCAAUGAUCCUUGAUUGGAAAAUAUGAUAUUUGAACUUGACGGUUCUAAAUUCAAGAAAAUGGAAGAAUUGAUGGUAUUCUCUUAUAAGAAAUCGAAUUGACGGUAUCAUGUCCUUAAAUGAUAUUUGAAUUGAAUUGAAGGAUAAUGUUAUUAUGCCUGAAUACUGUUGGAUACAAAAUUUUAAAAUGAUGGCUUGUUUGAAAUUGAAAUUUUAAAAUGAUACAAAAUUGAAAAUGAUGGUCCAAGUCUGAGGGAAAUUUCGGUCCAAGUCUGAGGAAAAUUUGUGCUGCCAAUAGAUCUGAUGAAAAACAGGUACUGGGUAAACUAUAUUACCAUGAUUCAGAGUUGUGAUAUUGCAAUUCUUGAUGUGGAUAUGGACCCUCUCAAUUUAAGCUUAUAUUGCCAUCAUUGUCAAUCUAGGAGAGAAAGUGACUUAGAGACAAUAGUAGAAUCCUAUCUAGCAGGAAAUUUGGGUUGCCCACUUCCUCGUUCCAGGGUGUUGUGUCUGUUCUGUUUCUCCAGAACAAUGGAUUGAUCAUUUAGGAACAAAAUUGGGUGGUAUGCUUAAUAUUGUGAUUUAUAGUAUUCAGGAACAAAUUUCUCCAGAUAAAUUUAUAGUAAUUUAAUAUUGUGAUUUGGUAUGCUUUCUGCAGCAAAUGAAACCGCUUCUUGAGAGUGUUGGUAGCUCAUUUUGUCCUGAUCACUCAGAUUGGUCUGGUACCGAUGCUUCUAAUGUUCAUUCAAGAAAUGCGGACAAAUCUGUUCUUCGAAAGUUUUUACAAGCCCAUCCGACAGACUAUUCAUCAAAAAAAUUGCAAGUCAGUCUAGAUUAUCAUAUUGUUAACCUUACAAAUGGAAAAUUUGUAAUUUGACCAUAUUUUUUGUACUAAAUUCUGUUAAUGUGUAAGUUUAUAAUAUGUCCUGAAUUUUAUUAUAUUGCCAAAUUACACAUUUCAUGUCUUCCUUUCUGAUGAAUUAUUUCUCUAUAAUAUGAAAUAGUAUACUGAUAGUCUUCUCUGGAUUUUAAUUGAUAGAUUCGAGUUAUUAUUUUAUUGUUUUCCUCUACAAAUGAUUCAAAGGGUCUCCCGAUUCUCAAGAAGCACUAACAUUUAAAUUAAAUUUUCCCUUGCAAUUUAGAUUGCAUUUCUUUCGCCUAAAUGCUUUACUGUCUUCUGUCCAGUUCAUAGUCAUAGCAUUGAUUUGGUUUUGAAUCAGGAAAUAAUUUGGUUGAUGAGGGAAAAACGCCUCCCUGCUGCAUUUAAAUGUUAUCAUAACUUCCACAAAGUUGAUGCCAUAUCAAAAACAACCUUUUCUAUAAAAUGGCCAUUCAUGUGCAUAGUGAUUUUGUUUUUCGGAGAUACCAAAAUGAGAUGAGGAAACAACUAGGAUUAUGGCCAAUUUAUCGAGGUUGGUGUGAAUGUAAAUCUCGGCCACUCUUGCUACAAAUUAAGAAAGAGGUUCUUCAAUUUAAGGCUUUACAACCAAAUAUUUGAUCCUGGCAUUAUGAUCUUGUUAAGUGCAAUAUGCAGAGGGAUGAAAAUUUGAAGUAAGGAAAUGCAAUGCCUUCUUAACUGGACAUUCUAUAAAGAUGCAGUUCUUUCUCAAGGUAUGUUUUGCAAUUUUUUUCUGAUACUCGUCUGAAAUAUUGAUGACAUAUUCGAUAUUUGAGCUUAUAUGGUCUAAAUGAUACAAAAUUUUAAAAUGAUGGCUCGGUUGAAAUUGAAUUGACGGUAUCGUGGUACAAAAUGAAGGCUCGUAUGAAAUUGAAGGAUAAUAGUAUUAUGGUCGAAUACUAUUGGAUACACAAUUUGAUAUUUGGAUUUAUAAAUUGAAUUGGCGGUAACGUAACUUAAAAUGAUGGCUCGAUUGAAAUUGAAUUGACAGUAUUGUGAGGUUGAAAUUGAAUUGACGGUAUUGUGUGGCUUAUACGAAAUUGAAUUGAUCAUAGAUCUUGUGUUUUAAAAUGAUGACUUUAUUUACUUGAUUCUUAAAUUGAUUGUCCGUCUCUCUUUCCGAUUCAAAAUAUGAAUAAAAGAGAGACAUUCUAUAAAGCUUCUCAAUUGGACAUUCUAUAAAGCAUAAGUUCUUUUUUGAAUUUUAUUUCUUUAAUCAUUACGACAUAUUUCAAUUUUUAUCAAUUUUAUCUGAUACUUGUCUGAAAUAUUGAUGACAUAUUCGAGUUUAUGUGGUCUAAAUGAUAAAAUUUGAUACGAUGAUGUUCUGCAUCGAUGACCUUGAAUGCAAAAUAAUAUAUAGGGGAGCGCCACCCCUACUUGAAAAAUCAGGUAGGUAUUGUCAUAUAUAGAAAAUCAACAUCUCAACAACACUAUUUUUGUAUUCACGCUAACCGGAAAAUGAAGAGCUAAGCCAAAUCAUCAUUUCUGAACCACCAGUUCAAUGGCGUCGUCUGCGACCUGAUUUAUUUAGAAAAAUCAGAACCAAACUCAUUUCUUCAAAAGGAAACACCUUUUCUUUUCAAAAAAAGGGGGGGAGCACCACCUCCUACCACCCUCUUGAAAACUAUGUUUAAACCAGCGACCCUCACAACCACAAUUUUUGGUGGGCUUAUACCAUAAAACAGCCCAAAACCCACUCACAAACGUCACAAAAAGGUUCCAAAAUAGAAAAUGUCAAACGACCAAUCCUUGGAUUUUCCGACUUAGACCUUGUAGGCGGUAUCCCUAACAGAGAUCUACCACUACUCAUUACGGCUACAAUAACUAAACACAACAUUUCCAACCAAGGAAGUUCUUGUAACAUCAUGUACCAAAACCUAUUUUCAAAGCUUAGAAGCCAAACGUCGGAGUUAUCACCAUACAAUGACCGACCACUCAUCGUGUUCGAUGGCACAAUGACUCGUCCGUUGGGAAUCAUCACGGUACCAACCACCUUUAAAGACAACAAUGAUCCGUCAUCGAUACGAGCGAUCCAAAUUAAGUUUCUCUUGGUACCGUGCAACACAACAUACAACUGAAUCUUGAGAAGACCAGCCCUCGACUCAUUAGGCGCAGUACCCUCGACAGUACACCUAAAGAUGAGAUACCACGAAAUAAAUGACAAGGUGGUCACUAUCCGUGCUGACAGCAAAGCCCUCAGGAGAUACUCUAGGACAACAGGAAAUGACUUUUCCUCAAUAACACUCCCUAACACCAAUGGUAACCACUACAAGUGACGAUAAAAAAAAAAUACUGACUUCGACCCUCGCCAUGACGAGUACGUUUUCGACGAAGAAAAGAAAGCAGAGAAGCCGCUACCACUAGAAGUAAGAACAAGGUUCGAAAGGCCAAAAUGCGAUGGAGAAUUCAUAACAAUAUAACUGGACGACAACCCAACCAUAAUCGUCAAAAUUGGAGCAAAUCUUUGACAACAAAUCCAAGAGGUCUUAAUCAGAUGCCUCAAGGCCAACGCGAACGUUUUCGCCACCACACCAUAGGAAAUGUCAGGAAUCAAUCAUGCGGUGGCAUGCCAUCACCUCAACGUCGAUCCCAACAUGAAAUAUGUGGCACCAACAUGAAAUAUGUGGCACAAAGAAGACAAAAGCAAUAUGCGGAAAAAAUCGAAUCAGCUAAGGCCAUCGUUGACGAACUGAUCCAAGUCAAAUUUAUAUAGGCAACAAAUGGCUAUCCAACUUCGUCUUAGUGAAAAAGGCUAGCGGGAAAUCGCGCAUAGUGAUCAAUCAAAUUCAGAAGAUAUAGGCAAAACCAUUAUAUUGAAAAAGGCCAAAAGAAAUCGUGAGAGAGACGAAGUUACUAUUGUUUUUAUGUUUUUGUGACUAAUCCUAAUUUUCUGAACUUCUUAUCUAUUUAUAAUAACUAGUAACCGACCCGUGCGAUGCACGGGUUUGGAAGAACGUCAUAUAUAUAACAAUCAUGGUUGUUGUCAAUCAUGGAUGCUAUGAGCCAAAUGAAGUUAGUCAUAAGCAUACGAAAAUUAAUCAAAUUGAUUCAUUUGGCGGAACGCCAAAUUUAUUUCAAUCAUGAAUGCUGUCAAUCAAGUGAGUUAAGCAUAAUAUAUAUCAUUACAAAUAUAGGAUGUUUUAAAUUAAAGGCAUCAUAUAAUUUAAUCUUAAUUAAGUGGGUUAAACAUAAUUGAUCAUUGCAAACAUAAAUGCAGACCAUAUGCACACUUCAAGUGAAUCAUCACAUCGAAUUUUAUAAUGGAACUUUCAUGACCUGUGACAUUUAUAGAAAGAUUACUACUAUUUGAGAAUAGAUAGGAGUGCUAUGGGAUAUGGGAGUACUAUUCAAAAUAUAGGUAGGAGAAACGAUUGUAUAUUAUGAUGAUAGAAGAAUUUUGUGAAGGACAUGAUAGCAAGUUCCAAAAUAGAAUUCCUCCAAUUCCUGUAUUCUUCAACAUAUGAGAAUUAUUUCUACCUUCCUUUCCUCUCAUCAACCUUCAAUGUAUAAGACUUUUCUAGGCCAAUCUCAUUAUAUCAUAUGAAGCCAAAUUCAAUUUACAAAAAUAACCACAUAAAUUAUCAUUAUCAUGACAAUAUGAAGAAAAAAAAGUUUCAAUGCACAAUAAGGAUGCAAGAGUACAUUAGGAUAUAGUUUAAAGAAAAACAUCAAUACAUAGACUCAAUUUAUUUCUC